GGGCCCGCACAAGCAGUGGAUUAUGUGGUUUAAUUCGAAGCAACGCGAAGAACCUUACCAGGUCUUGACAUCUACCUAAUCGGUCGGAGAUGACCGAGUGCCUUUCGGGGAAAGGUAAGACAGGUGGUGCAUGGUUGUCGUCAGCUCGUGUCGUGAGAUGUUGGGUUAAGUCCCGCAACGAGCGCAACCCUUGCCAUUAGUUGCUACGCAAGAGCACUCUAAUGGGACCGCUAUCGACAAGAUGGAGGAAGGCGGGGACGACGUCAAAUCAUCAUGCCCCUUAUGACCUGGGCCACACACGUAAUACAAUGGCCGUCAACAACGGGAAGCGAAGGAGCAAUCCGGAGCAAAACCUACAAAAACGGUCUCAGUUCGGAUUGCAGGCUGCAACUCGCCUGCAUGAAGUUGGAAUUGCUAGUAAUCGCGGAUCAGCAUGCCGCGGUGAAUACGUUCCCGGGCCUU
rnacentral:rRNA from 1 species